rnacentral:rRNA from 1 species
UGGGGGAUAUUGCACAAUGGGCGAAAGCCUGAUGCAGCGACGCCGCGUGGGGGAUGAAGGCCUUCGGGUUGUAAACUUCUUUUGCUCUGAACAAGGCAUGCUAAUGGGUGUGUUGAGUGUAGGGGUUGAUUAGCGCCGGCUAACUACGUGCCAGCAGCCGCGGUAAUACGUAGGGCGCGAGCGUUGUCCGGAAUUAUUGGGCGGAAAGGGCUUGUAGGUGGCUGGUUGCGUCUGUCGUGAAAGCUCAUGGCUUAACUGUGGGUUUGCGGUGGGUACGGGCUGGCUUGAGUGCAGUAGGGGAGGCUGGAAUUCCUGGUGUAGCGGUGGAAUGCGCAGAUAUCAGGAGGAAUACCGGUGGCGAAGGCGGGUCUCUGGGCUGUUACUGACACUGAGGAGCGAAAGCAUGGGGAGCGAACAGG